rnacentral:rRNA from 1 species
CCUACGGGUGGCAGCAGUGAGGAAUAUUGGUCAAUGGACGCGAGUCUGAACCAGCCAUGUAGCGUGAAUGAUGACUGUCCUAUGGGUUGUAAACUUCUUUUAUAUGGGCGUAAAAUGUUCCACGUGUGGGAUUUUGUAUGUACCAUAUGAAUAAGGCUCGGCUAACUCCGUUCCAGCGGCCGCGGUAAUACGGCGGAUCCGAGCGUUAUCCGGAUUGAUUGGGUUUAAAGGGAGCGUAGGUGGAUUGUUAAGUCAGUUGUGAAAGUUUGCGGCGCAACCGUAAAAUUGCAGUUGAAACUGGCAGACUUGAGUACAGUAGAGGUGGGCGGAAUUCGUGGUGUAGCGGUGAAAUGCUUAGAUAGCACGAAGAACUCCGAUUGCGAAGGCAGCUCACUGGACUGCAACUGACACUGAGGCUCGAAAGUGUGGGUAGCAAACAGGAUUAGAUACCCGUGUAGUC